AGCUUUGCGCAGUGGCAGUAUCGUAGCCAAUGAGGUUUAUCCGAGGCGCGAUUAUUGCUAAUUGAAAAGUAAAUAAACGUUAAAAUUUAAAAAAAAAAAAGACAUAUUUUAAGUGCAGUAACCAAGAUUACGUG